rnacentral:tRNA from 1 species
AGCGGGAUGGUGUAACGGCAACACGCCGGUUUCAUGCGCCGGCACUGCAGGUUCGACCCCUGCUCCCGCUA